rnacentral:tmRNA from 2 species
GGGCUUUCCAUCCACGCGCCCGCUCCCUAUAUUGGGCCUGUCGGCUUCGGUCGACUAUGGCGAUAAACGGCCGAUGAAAUAAACCAUUCGGACCCGGGGGCGGUACCCGGCGCCUCCACCAAAAACCGCGGCAUGUCAGUGACUUGCGGCUUUUGAUGGGGGCGAAACAGGAUCGACGAGGGUGUAAAGAUCGGACUUUCGCUCGGCAUGGUACCACCGUUAUCGGGCUAAACUUAUAGUUGCCAACGACAACUAUGCGGAAGCACGUCUCGCCGCGUAAGCAGCGCGACAGCUUCAAUUCAAGCCCUAGGGGUUCGCACUUCUAGGCGGGGUUCGGAGGCACCUGGCAACAGAAGCCUCCACU